rnacentral:rRNA from 1 species
UUCCGGUUGAUCCCGCCGGAGGUUACUGCUAUCGGUGUUCGACUAAGCCAUGCAAGUCAUAUGUUCCUCGUGAACAUGGCAUACUGCUCAGUAACACGUGGAUAACCUGCCCUUGGGUCUGGGAUAACCCCGGGAAACUGGGGAUAAUACCGGAUGACGCAUAUGUGCUGGAAUGCUUUAUGCGUAAAACGGAUUCGUCCGCCCAAGGAUGGGUCUGCGGCCUAUCAGGUAGCAGUGGGUGUAAUGUACCUACUAGCCAACAACGGGUACGGGUUGUGAGAGCAAGAGCCCGGAGAUGGAUUCUGAGACAUGAAUCCAGGCCCUACGGGGCGCAGCAGGCGCGAAAACUUUACAAUGCGGGAAACCGUGAUAAGGGAACACCGAGUGCCAGCAUCAUAUGCUGGCUGUCCAGAUGUGUAAACUACAUCUGUUAGCAAGGGCCGGGCAAGACCGGUGCCAGCCGCCGCGGUAACACCGGCGGCCCGAGUGGUGACCGUUAUUAUUGGGUCUAAAGGGUCCGUAGCCGGUUUGGUCAGUCCUCCGGGAAAUCUGAUAGCUUAACUGUUAGGCUUUCGGGGGAUACUGCCAGGCUUGGAACCGGGAGAGGUAAGAGGUACUACAGGGGUAGGAGUGAAAAUCUUGUAAUCCCAGUGAGACCACCUGUGGCGAAAGCGUCUUACCAGAACGGGUUCCACGGUGAGGGACAAAAGCUGGGGGC